rnacentral:rRNA from 1 species
AUUGAACGCUGGCGGCGUGCUUAACACAUGCAAGUCGAUCGGUAACGCGGGGGCAACCCUGGCGACGAGAGGCGGACGGGUGAGGAACGCUUGGGAAUCUGCCUAUCAGCGGGGGACAACACGGGGAAACUCGUGCUAAUACCGCAUACGCUCUACGGAGGAAAGCCGGGGACCGCAAGGCCUGGGCCGGAUAGAUGAGCCCAAGCCGGAUUAGCUAGUUGGCCGGGUAACGGCCCACCAAGGCGACGAUCCGUAGCUGGUCUGAGAGGACGAUCAGCCACACUGGGACCGAGACACGGCCCAGACUCCUAAGGGAGGCAGCAGUGGGGAAUAUUGGACAAUGGGGGAAACCCUGAUCCAGCGACGCCGCGUGGGUGAAGAAGGCCUGCGGGUUGUAAAGCCCUUUCGGUAGGGACGAAAGCUCUCGACCUAACACGUCGGGAGGUUGACUUAACCUACAAAAGAAGCACCGGCUAACUCUGUGCCAGCCGCCGCCGUAAAAC